ACGGCGCGUGAAGCGGCAACAGCUCAAAUUUGAAAUCUGGCUCCCUCUGGGGGUCCGAGUUGUAAUUUGCAGAGGGUGCUUUGGCGUUGGUGGCGGUCUAAGUUCCUUGGAACAGGACAUCGCAGAGGGUGAGAAUCCCGUUUGUGGUCGCCUGCCUUCGCCGUGUAAAGCCCCUUCGACGAGUCGAGUUGUUUGGGAAUGCAGCUCUAAAUGGGAGGUAAAUUUCUUCUAAAGCUAAAUACCGGCCAGAGACCGAUAGCGCACAAGUAGAGUGAUCGAAAGAUGAAAAGCACUUUGGAAAGAGAGUCAAACAGCACGUGAAAUUGUUGAAAGGGAAGCGCUUGCAGCCAGACUUGCCCGCAGUUGCUCACCCAGGCUUUUGCCCGGGGCAUUCUUCUGUGGGCAGGCCAGCAUCAGUUUGGGCGGUCGGAUAAAGGCCUCUGUCACGUAUCCUCCUUCGGGUGGACCUUAUAGGGGAGGCGACAUGCGACCAGCCCGGACUGAGGUCCGCGCAUCUGCUAGGAUGCUGGCGUAAUGGCUGUAAGCGGCCCGUCUUGAAACACGGACCAAGGAGUCUAACAUCUAUGCGAGUGUUUGGGUGUCAAGCCCGAGCGCGGAAUGAAAGUGAACGGAGGUGGGAACCCUCGGGUGCACCAUCGACCGAUCCUGAUGUCUUCGGAUGGAUUUGAGUAAGAGCAUAGCUGUUGGGACCCGAAAGAUGGUGAACUAUGCUUGAAUAGGGUGAAGCCAGAGGAAACUCUGGUGGAGGCUCGCAGCGGUUCUGACGUGCAAAUCGAUCGUCAAAUUUGGGCAUAGGGG
rnacentral:rRNA from 1 species